UUCCAGACUCCUACGGGAGGCAGCAGUGGGGAAUAUUGCACAAUGGGGGAAACCCUGAUGCAGCGACGCCGCGUGAGUGAAGAAGUAUUUCGGUAUGUAAAGCUCUAUCAGCAGGGAAGAUAAUGACGGUACCUGACUAAGAAGCCCCGGCUAACUACGUGCCAGCAGCCGCGGUAAUACGUAGGGGGCAAGCGUUAUCCGGAUUUACUGGGUGUAAAGGGUGCGUAGGUGGCAUGGCAAGUCAGAAGUGAAAGCCCGGGGCUCAACCCCGCGGACUGCUUUUGAAACUGUCAGGCUGGAGUACAGGAGAGGUAAGCGGAAUUCCUAGUGUAGCGGUGAAAUGCGUAGAUAUUAGGAGGAACACCAGUGGCGAAGGCGGCUUACUGGACUGUAACUGACACUGAGGCACGAAAGCGUGGGGAGCAAACAGGAUUAGAUACCCGCGUAAC
rnacentral:rRNA from 1 species